rnacentral:rRNA from 1 species
UACGUAGGGUGCAAGCGUUGUCCGGAAUUAUUGGGCGUAAAGAGCUCGUAGGCGGUCUGUCGCGUCUGCUGUGAAAACUCGGGGCUUAACCCCGGGCCUGCAGUGGGUACGGGCAGACUAGAGUGCGGUAGGGGAGACUGGAAUUCCUGGUGUAGCGGUGAAUGCGCAGAUAUCAGGAGGAACACCGGUGGCGAAGGCGGGUCUCCUGGGCCCGAACUUGACGCUGAGAGCCGAAAGCUGGGGAGCAAACAGG